GUUUGUACAUGCUAGUUGUUUUGCUGCAUUGCAUCACUCAUUAAACUAAGUUUCUACCUGCACUUGGUCCUCAUCUCUGCAUCCUGGGGUCGCAACGCAACUCUGACAAGCCGCACCAUGACAGGGUGGCAAGCAAACUCCACACAGAGAUGCCCAAAUGGAGAUUUGAACCCAGGUCUUCCUGAUCUCCUGACUGUGUGGCCAACAUGCUAACCAGUCGUUCACAUAGGGCAUAUCUUUGAAGAGGGGGGGUACAGCUCUGAGUUCCUGGGAAUGUUCCUGUGAGGGG